GGGACGGCAAGACGCUCAACACGGUGGUGUUCGCCAGGUUCGUCUUGUUCUUGGAUUUUCGCUUGCUUCUUUGUUUCUUCUUUCUGACCGAGCAGGUGAGCUGAUUUUGGAUUUGUCAUCCUAGUUUCUGCAGCUGUUGGAGGAGGACUUGGUGGUGCUAAGGAAUGGAGUACUACAAGGACGGACGCCGCUUCCGUUGAACUCAGGUGAGCUUGCGAAUUCGCGAUGGCCUUGGUGAUUUUACUGUUACUGCUACUCUAUUAGUCAUGGAAUUCGGGAGAUCUUGGGUUCGAAUUUUAUUUUCUGGGAUUUUUAUCGGGGUGUAUGCAACUGUAUAACUGUAAAUUGGCUUGCCCCUGGGUGUUCUUGGUUGGUGAUUCGACAAUGAUUUGAAGCGGUCUGGCUUAUCAGCCGGUGGUUAGGUGGAGUCGGGUUAUUAUAGUUUCGGUAUAGGAGGGGGAAAGGUGGCACAAAUCUGGGGGCAGGGCAUGUUUCUGCCUGAUUGAUCCAAUCAUUUUUUUUCUUCUGGUAUCAAUCAAUCAUGCCAGCAUCUGAAACGGAUUAUCAAAUCUGAAUUGGCACUGUUUUUUAUAUAUAAUGAUACCAUACAGCUCGAGAUGAACAUAUGCUUGACUGAAUAGUUGUUCAUACAUCUGGAGGUGUUACUAUGAGUACAAUUACCAUUCAGAAAGAAAGAAACUAUGAGUAAAAUGCAGAGAACGCACUUCCAGACUAUCAAUCAUGCAUGCCCAUAUCAUUUGCUUUGCUUAAUGUUUCUUAGUUUAACUUACUAAUCUCUUGUCUGUGUAAUUUUUGCUGCCAGAAGGGAUCCAAAUAGGUUGCAACUGGGAGUAAAAUAUGUGUCUAAACUGAUUGUCUGGUGCGAAAAUCGACGACCAAGAUCCAGUUAUGUGUAUUGUAGGACAACACCUUUCAUUAGAUACACUUUGAUGCUAUUUCUAGCAUGAAUUUCUAUUUCAGACUUAGAACUAAAAUUCUGAACAACUAAAAUCGCUCUUGUUCCUUAUUUUUGUAGGGCGGUUCCUCUCGUUUUACUGGUUCGUCCGCUCCUUCAUGAUUGAUGUACUGGUUCUGGCCGCUCCUUCGUGAUAGACUCGGUUAACUCUUUGUUGGCCUUGUGGGUCGUAAUUGUUUCUCUCCAUAUGCAUAUACUUCCUGAUGUAUUGCUCAUGCUCAUUCUGUACCGAGAUAGACCUAAUAUCCGUAGGGUUGUAGAUUGAUUUCCCCUGAAAAAGCUAUGCUUCUUUCCUUGGAUGAUAAGCAUGUUCCGCAGCUAUGUGGAAUUCUUAAGAUAAACGGUCUUUAGUUUCUUUUGGUGCAUCUGCGUGCACAUAACAGUCUGUUAGUUUCUCAGUCUGUUAGUUUCUCUUUAUAUAAUGAAAAAAUAUAUGUUGUUGUCGCUUGUUUAUUAUUAUCUAUCAUUUGUAUAUUGAUUUUUAGGCCACCAGUACUUGUAUGUAUAAUUUCUAGUCUCUUGAAUGAAUAAUUUUUCUUUAUGUGCCAUGCGUCUUGUGUUACUACAUACAUCUGUCGUGAAGUACAUGGUUCUGGAACUAUGGUAACCCGUAGUUUGCUCUACCCGUGAUAGUAGGAUGAUGGAAGCAUCACUACUGAAUGUAGUUCAUGUUUCUUCAUAUAAUCAUCAUUUACUAGAGUUUCUCUUCUUCUUGCUACUACUUGGUUUUUGACGCCACUAGCUUGUACUGAAAUGUAAACACAUCAUAUUGUUCUCAUCAGACCAGUGUACCUUGAGCAUGCAAAGUAAACACAUGCUACUCCACUUGUCUAUUUUUACAUAAACUUUUGUUUAAAUAAACCGAGCUAAUAAACCAAACGGUGCAAACACAUUCAGUUCUGAAAUUUGUCUACUCCACUUGUUUGAUUGUACUGAAACCUUUGUUUGCAUGUUUCUAAAAUGCAGAGAAGAACACCCUGUGUUCUGGUAAAAUAUUUGUUUGCUAUGAUAUGAAAUUCCAUGAUGUGUGUGUUGUUUCAGUUUCUGUAGCUACAACAAAGUCCUAGUUUACUCUAUACUUGCUUUUGAUGAUUGCUGGCUAAAUUUACAGUUGAAAUAAUAGUAGCCAAGGAGUAGAUACAAGACGUAUUUACCAUAUUUUGCAUGGAAUGUUAAAAAUCAGUUUUGUUGUGGUUUCUUGUUCUGUGAGUCAAAUUGCAUAAGAUGGGAGUAUCACAACAUGCAUAUACUGAAGCUGGGAGUAUCACAACCUGAAUGUGCAGCUUAUGUAGUUUCUGUAUUUUUGUUAAAGCAUGGAGUAGCUUCUAUAGUUUCUGUAUUUUUGUUAAAGCAUGGAGUAGCUUCUAUAGUUUCUGUAUUUCUGUAUUUUCGUUAAAGCAUGGAGUAGCUUCUAUAGCUUCCUCACAAGUUAAUGCUUUGCUCGUCCGGGUGUGUGAUAAUGCCAUUUGUCUUGUGCAAUCAGAUUACAUUUCUGUUUGUUAUGGUAAUAUAAAAAAUAUUCGUGCUGUCAAAAUUUUCACAGUGCGUGUCUUUCAUUUCUUUAAUUUGAUUGUUUCCCUUGUAUUCAAUAUGCUUCUAGUGGCUGAUCCUUCCAUUUUUGUUGUGGCAUCUUUAUUUUCACAGGUGUUGUGUGUUCUGGAAGAUGGAAGAGGAAGAAAUUGUUGAACUAAAUUUUUUGUAUUCUGUUUUGUUGUAUGUAUCAUUUGAUAGUUUUGUAUAGGAACAAGUGAUACUAUUUUGUAGGGCUUUAUGGCCUAUGAUGUAAACAUAUUUAGUGCUGAAAUAUGAAAUUAUUUGCAAAAUUUGUCAAAAAGGUGGAUCAUAUGUAUGAAUAUGUGAAUGGGCUGAAAAGAGUAAUGGACCAACUCCAGGAUUGAAU
rnacentral:lncRNA from 1 species